GCUUUCUCAAAGAAACUUUUACAGUGUGUUGUACUACUUUUGGGACAAAUUAUAUCAAAAUUAUAGAAAACUUCAUCAGCUCUAACUCAAAAUAUGGACAAUUUUAUGUUUAGGGCGUCUUGAAAUCUUUUGACAGCUUCCAAAGUGCUAAUUUUCAACCUUUUUCAGCUGGACCAAAUCACUACUUUCCUUUAAAAUUCUGGACCCAAAUUUUUUUACAGUGUAAUUUCACCCCCCUACUUGCAAUUUGAGGCAUUAAACAUGGAGAAAUAAAUUUGGAAGGGGUAUAAAAGUUAAUGGCAAGUAAUCCACUGUCAACACUAGGGAC
rnacentral:lncRNA from 1 species